GACGAACGCUGGCGGCGCGCUUAAUACAUGCAAGUCGAGCGAGAACCAGGGCUUCGGCCCUGGGGACAGCGGCGAACGGGUGAGUAACACGUGGGUAAUCAACCCCCGACACCGGGAUAGCCCAGGGAAACUUGGAUUAAUACCGGAUGCCCCAUCUGGCUUUCGAGCCGGCUGGAAAAGGGUAGCUUCGGCCUCCGGUCGGGGACGAGCCCGCGGCGGAUUAGCUUGUUGGUGAGGUAAAGGCUCACCAAGGCGACGAUCCGUAGCUGGUCUGAGAGGACGAUCAGCCACACUGGGACUGAGACACGGCCCAGACUCCUACGGGAGGCAGCAGUAGGGAAUCUUGCGCAAUGGGCGAAAGCCUGACGCAGCGACGCCGCGUGAGGGAAGAAGGCCUUCGGGUUGUAAACCUCUUUCAGGAGGGACGAAGCCACUCGGGUUAAUAGCCUAGAGGGUGACGGUACCUCCAGAAGAAGCCCCGGCUAACUACGUGCCAGCCGCCGCAGUAA
rnacentral:rRNA from 1 species